rnacentral:rRNA from 1 species
AGGGUUCGAUUAUGGCUCAGGACGAACGCUGGCGGCGUGCUUAACACAUGCAAGUCGAACGAGAAUCUGUGGAUCGAGGAUUCGUCCAAGUGAAGCAGAGGACAGUGGCGGACGGGUGAGUAACGCGUGAGGAACCUGCCUUUCAGAGGGGGACAACAGUUGGAAACGACUGCUAAUACCGCAUGAUACAUUUGGGUGGCAUCAUCUGAAUGUCAAAGAUUUAUCGCUGAAAGAUGGCCUCGCGUCUGAUUAGCUGGUUGGUGAGGUAACGGCCCACCAAGGCGACGAUCAGUAGCCGGACUGAGAGGUUGACCGGCCACAUUGGGACUGAGAUACGGCCCAG